ensembl:lncRNA
AUGUUACGAAGCAUUAUGGAUUUCAUAACCAUGCAUUUUUGCCUUUUAGUAAUGCUGAAUCUAAUUGCAUGGAUGGUUCUGACAGCAACAGCUGGAUUAGGAGCCAUUAAUUUCCACGAGUGUCCAAUCCAGCCUCACAUCCCUACCUAUCUGAUUAUGAUUGGAGCAUGUGGAGCGGUAUCACUAAUGUUGGCCUACCUGAAGAACACUCUGCAUGAAGGAGCUCUGAAUCAAUUAUGUUCAAUCUGUAUCUUCUGCAUCCUCCUUCUCAGCACUUGCUGGAUUCUUAUGGGGACCUUCUGGGUUUACUCCAUAUAUCCUCCAAACUAUGAUUCUUCAAAUGGGAGGCACUACUGUCAGAGGACCCUUUACCUGUUUGCAUUUUGGUUCAACAACUUGUGUUUUUUGUGUGCGUUCAUAAUGUUUAUGUACUGCAUUUCCUAUCUUCUGUACAAAUGUUUCAUAGAGGCAUUUCAUCUGUAACAUUGGUUGUCAAACUAUGCAAUGCAUCCAAGGUGGUACUACAGGUGACCUCAGAAAAUGUGCUGCAGGCACUAAAAUAUUAAGGACUGAAAUCUAUAGGUAUCUAUAAAGGACCAAUCCAGGUCCUGGAGAUCUACCACCCUAAAAUGUUCAAAUACAACAUUUUAAUACUAAGAUGAUUCUAAAUGCUAUUAUUGCCUACGUAUAUGAGAUGUAUUAGAUUGAGAUUCCUGUGAAUUGACUUGUAGGAAGUACUUGGACAUUUUAGUUUGGUCAUGGAUGAAACAUGGUCUAAAAGUUUGAGAGUUAUUGAUAUAUCUCAAAAAUAUAUAUCUAAAUAAGCAUGUAGAGAAAAAAAAGUUAUUUGUAAGCCUGUCACAAUAACCUUUUUUUGCUGAUCUUAAAAGUACCCAUUGUGUUAACUUAGCAAAUAAAAAAGUCAAUAUAUGUCA